AGAGUUUGAUUAUGGCUCAGGAUGAACGCUAGCUACAGGCUUAACACAUGCAAGUCGAGGGGCAGCAUUGGGGUAGCAAUACUCAGAUGGCGACCGGCGCACGGGUGAGUAACACGUAUCCAACCUGCCGCUUACUCGGGGAUAGCCUUUCGAAAGAAAGAUUAAUACCCGAUGGUAUAAAGAGUUCGCAUGUUCUCUUUAUUAAAGAAUUUCGGUAAGCGAUGGGGAUGCGUUCCAUUAGAUAGUUGGCGGGGUAACGGCCCACCAAGUCUACGAUGGAUAGGGGUUCUGAGAGGAAGGUCCCCCACAUUGGAACUGAGACACGGUCCAAACUCCUACGGGAGGCAGCAGUGAGGAAUAUUGGUCAAUGGACGAGAGUCUGAACCAGCCAAAGUAGCGUGAAGGAUGACUGCCCUAUGGGUUGUAAACUUCUUUUAUAAGGGAAUAAAGUGAGGGACGUGUCCCUUUUUGUAUGUACCUUAUGAAUAAGGAUCGGCUAACUCCGUGCCAGCCGCCGC
rnacentral:rRNA from 1 species